rnacentral:rRNA from 2 species
UAACUCCGGGAAACCGGGGCUAAUACCGGAUAGUUCUUUUCCUCGCAUGAGGAAAAGUGGAAAGGUGGCUUUUAGCUACCACUUACAGAUGGACCCGCGGCGCAUUAGCUAGUUGGUGAGGUAACGGCUCACCAAGGCAACGAUGCGUAGCCGACCUGAGAGGGUGAUCGGCCACACUGGGACUGAGACACGGCCCAGACUCCUACGGGAGGCAGCAGUAGGGAAUCUUCCGCAAUGGACGAAAGUCUGACGGAGCAACGCCGCGUGAGUGAUGAAGGUUUUCGGAUCGUAAAGCUCUGUUGUUAGGGAAGAACAAGUGCCGUUCAAAUAGGGCGGCACCUUGACGGUACCUAACCAGAAAGCCACGGCUAACUACGUGCCAGCAGCCGCGGUAAUACGUAGGUGGCAAGCGUUGUCCGGAAUUAUUGGGCGUAAAGCGCGCGCAGGCGGUCUCUUAAGUCUGAUGUGAAAGCCCACGGCUCAACCGUGGAGGGUCAUUGGAAACUGGGGGACUUGAGUACAGAAGAGGAAAGUGGAAUUCCACGUGUAGCGGUGAAAUGCGUAGAUAUGUGGAGGAACACCAGUGGCGAAGGCGACUUUCUGGUCUGUAACUGACGCUGAGGCGCGAAAGCGUGGGGAGCAACAGGAUUAGAUACCCUGGUAGUCACGCCGUAAACGAUGAGUGCUAGUGUUAGAGG